AUUGAACGCUGGCGGAAUGCUUUACACAUGCAAGUCGAACGGCAGCACGGACUUCGGUCUGGUGGCGAGUGGCGAACGGGUGAGUAAUGUAUCGGAACGUGCCCAGUCGUGGGGGAUAACGUAGUGAAAAUUACGCUAAUACCGCAUACGAUCUAUGGAUGAAAGCGGGGGAUCGCAAGACCUCGCGGGAUUGGAGCGGCCGAUAUCAUAUUAGGUAGGUGGUGGGGUAAAGGACCACCAAGCCAACGAUCUGUAGCUGGUCUGAGAGGACGACCAGCCACACUGGAACUGAGACACGGUCCAGACUCCUACGGGAGGCAGCAGUGGGGAAUUUUGGACAAUGGGCGAAAGCCUGAUCCAGCCAUUCCGCGUGCAGGAUGAAGGCCCUCGGGUUGUAAACUGCUUUUGUACAGAACGAAAAGGUUUCUACUAAUACUAGGAGCUCAUGACGGUACUGUAAGAAUAAGCACCGGCUAACUACGUGCCAGCCGCCGCAGUAA
rnacentral:rRNA from 1 species